UAGGGAAUCUUCCACAAUGGACGCAAGUCUGAUGGAGCAACGCCGCGUGAGUGAAGAAGGUUUUCGGACCGUAAAGCUCUGUUGUUGGUGAAGAAGGAUAGAGGUAGUAACUGGCCUUUAUUUGACGGUAAUCAACCAGAAAGUCACGGCUAACUACGUGCCAGCAGCCGCGGUAAUACGUAGGUGGCAAGCGUUGUCCGGAUUUAUUGGGCGUAAAGCGAGCGCAGGCGGAAGAAUAAGUCUGAUGUGAAAGCCCUCGGCUUAACCGAGGAAUUGCAUCGGAAACUGUUUUCUUGAGUGCAGAAGAGGAGAGUAGAACUCCAUGUGUAGCGGUGGAAUGCGUAGAUAUAUGGAAGAAUACCAGUGGCGAAGGCGGCUCUCUGGUCUGCAACUGACGCUGAGGCUCGAAAGCAUGGGUAGCGAACAGGAUUAGAUACCCUGGUAGUCCAUGCGUAAACGAUGAGUGCUAAGUGUUGGGAGGCUUCCGCCUCUCAGUGCUGCAGCUAACGCAUUAAGCACUCCGCCUGGGGGAGUACGACCGCAAGGUUGAAAC
rnacentral:rRNA from 1 species